ACACCAAUAUAUAAGGACAAGUGGUACAAAAUAUAGAAGUGACCCAUCUAACCACAGACACAUAUCAGUUACUAUUUUUAGCAAAUUGUUUGAAAAAAAUGAUUUUAAAAUACACGUUAACCAAACAGGUAGAGCUAGUUUGGAAGACAGAGAAAGGUAAUUAUACCAGACAAAGUAAGUAAUGAAGUUCGGUUUUGUUUAGUUUUGUUUACCGUCCUAUUAACAGCUAAGGACAUUUAAGGAUGUGCCUCCAUAUGUGUUGGGUACGCGUGCUUGUGUGUGUGUAUACGGGAGACAGUGUAUGUUGAUAUGCUAAUCUCCUUGUGAUAGCGCGGAUCUGAUGCCGACUAUCUCGCUAGAGCAGAGAAAGGUAAGUAUAACCGACAGAGCUAGUGUGGAAGGCAGGGAAAGGUAAGUAUAACCGACAGAGCUAGUGUGGAAGGCAGGGAAAGGUAGGUAUAACCGACAGAGUUUGUAGUCAAGGGUAACAUAUAUCUACCAGAAAGGUAGGGCUAGUGUGGAAGGCGGGGAAAGGUUGGUAUAAUCGACAAAGUUUGUAGUCAAGGAUAACAUACGUAUACCAAACGGGUACAGCUGGUGUGGAAGGCGGGGAAAGGUUAGUAUAACUGACAAGAGUUUGUAGUCAAGGGUAACAUAUGUUUACCAGAAAGGUAGGGCUAGUGUGGAAGGCGGGGAAAGGUUAGUAUAACUGACAGAGUUUGUAGUCAAGGGUAACAUACGUCUACCAGAAAGGUAGGGCUGGUGUGGAAGGCGGGGAAAGGUUAGUAUAACCGACAGAGUUUGUAGUCAAGGGUAACAUUUGAAUAAGAGUAGGGAGUGUGUGCAAUCUGAAUUAUUGGUGAAACACAUCAGUGAUUUAUUUAAUAACUGAAGUUAAAAGCUCACACGUCGGUACAUUAUCAUCGCUAUACUUGUUCAUCGGCUUUCGAUUAAGUUAUGAACAGGAAUAUCCAGCUAACUCGAAUAAAUGACAGGACACAGUUGUACAAAAAUAGAAUUCGUAGAAAUUCAUUCAAGUUAACCCCAUGAUAUUAGGGGAACAUGUACUUACAAUAACACGAACACGUAUACGGAUAUAUAUAGGCUUGCAACAGCAAGGGGCAUACAUGAACGAGGACGGGUGCCUUUGGAGACACCGUCUGAAACAAAUUUAUAUAGGUAUUAAUAUUGUGAUAUUUAGAGGCAUUGUUUGUUGGUAAUGUAUAAUAUGCGUAUUGUAUCUUUUUAACGAUACAUGUUAUUGAAUUGAUGAAGUUUGAUAAAGUUGUAAGGUUUAAACACAUAUGACGGAGUCGAGUGGAUGGCAAGAUAUGACCCAGAUGUGUUGAUACAUGUAAAGGACUAAACAUAAACCAUGUACUGCACAGGUAUUUGGAUAUACUAUAUGUUAAUUGGCAAAACGUUGCUGCAGAAUUAUUAAAGUGUUUGAUUAGAGUGUUUUAAUUGGUAUAUUGUAUUUAAUCCAAGUGCUAAUACAUACGGGGGAUGGAUGGCGGUGGCGUAGAAAAUUCACCCGCAGGUAAUGAACAGUGGACUUGUCGGUAACUCGAUACCUCGUAUUAUGUUCCGUUUAACAGUCUAAAUACACAUGUACAAAACAGAUGUUACAUACCCGGAAGUGCUGGACUGAGAAAACAUACUGCUAUUUGAUUUCUGUGUCUAUCACAUAAACAUCUCUUUGCAAGAUAAGCGUACUUCCUGAAGUUUUUGUUGACCGGCUAUCACGUUGAAGAUUUGGUAUGACAUUGAGGCGUACAAUUCUGAUGAUGCCAGAGCAGUGGAUAUUGUCUUACAUGAAACAUGGCCCUUAACAUCACACACUGGCAAAACGAAGUUAAUAGCGAGGACGGCGAGGUAUCUACACUGACUUUGAGAAGUCACACAAGCAACAACCCAUCCGCUUUGGAAAUAAACAUCAAACGAAAAAAAGACCCUCUAAUAGAUUUCCUAUUUUUGCAACUAUUCAAUAAUUUGAGUCAUGCGAUAUUUCAAUCCUUCUUUCGUGCGUCACAAUGUUGCUCUUUUACGUGUCCUGAUGACGUAUUGGGGAGAUCCUUAGUAAUCGUUACCGUGUGCGGUGUCAAAACAUUGGGUACUGAUACAGGUGUCUCGUACCACAUCCUGAUGGGAGGCAAGGCAUUAGUUAACCUCACAGGCGGUGUAACAACCAACCACGUUAUGGUUAAUAUACAACCGCUUACAACAUACCUAGAUCUAAUGGCAGAUGCGACAAAUAAGAUACCGUAUCCUGUGGACGUGGUUGGGGUCGGCCCGUAUAGGUACAUGUUGACAGACUUGAAUCAAGGCGGCGAACACACGGACGGCGUCAUCAUCUUCCUGCACCAGAUCCACCCUCCGGCCGCGUGUAUCAUGUUCAAACAUGGUUCCAAAGCAACUAUACGUGUGUGAGUCAGCUAGCUGUGGACGAACAUGAGAAGCCUAACAACGUACCCGGACACAUACACAUUAGAUUAACGUUUAGAGUGGCUGCCAGGAUACACACGUACCGGGACAUGUCGUUUACACCUACAUCGGCAAAAAUGAUAUUUAGCAGGAGAACAUAUGGUGUCAUUGUAUGCUGUCAUUGUUAAAUGAGUGUAGAGGGAGUCACAGGACCGGAUCACCUUUGAAUGUCCAGGUACUUCAUGUUACUUAGACACAGUGGUUUACAUUUCAAUAGCGAUAUGACAUUACAUGGCCAGGAAGCAUUUUUAAUUGGAGGGAAGGAAAGCACAGAUCCUCAGAUCGUCAGUUGCAAAUGAAUACUGAUUUCCAAGAAGUUAAGGUGAAAUCUGUCGUUAACAGACACAUUUGACUUCAAAGCGAAGAAGGCACUAGACAGGUUCAGUAUAGAAGGAAGAUCGGGAAGAUGAGUCCACGUUAAAACACCAGCUAUAUAUCGGUCCACGUUAAAACACCAGCUAUAUAUCAGUCCACGUUAAAACACCAGCUAUAUAUCAGUCCACGUUAAAACACCAGCUAUAUAUCAGUCCACCUGUACCCCUGCAGCGGCUGAACGAUCGCUUUUGCCAAGCUCUACUCCAUUUCCUUUCCAUACUAGACCCCCACUAUUAAAUACUACACCACCAAUUCCAAAACAUGACGUAAACGCCGCACAUCAGAUUGAACCAUCUAAACAAUGUGUUCUGUUCGAAACUUUCGACUCGACGACCUCUGGACAUUUAUCUUCACCUGCAAAGUUAUCUAUUACCGGAAAGACACUGACCAACUCUGGAUUCACUCAGACUUUACGUAACAAGUCGAAUAUCGAUAUUCAAUCAACAUAUACAAUACCAGUUUAUACACAAUCUCCUAUCAAUAUCCCAGGUUCAACCUCAGUGUCUACCAAGUCCCAAAUAUCUAAUACCAUACAAACAACCCCAGUGUCUACCACGUACAACAAAUCUAGUACAAACACAACAAGCCCAGUGUCUACAAUGUCUCACAAAUCUAGUACAAACACUACAACCCCGAUGUCUAACCAGUCCCACAAUUCCAGUUCAAACACUACAACCCCGGUGUCUACCAUGUCCAACAAAUCUGGUACAAACACUAUAACACCGGUGUCUACCAUAUCCCACAAAUCCAGUACAAACACUACAAACCCAGUGUCUACCAUGUUCGACAAAUCUAGUACAAACACAAUAACCCAAGCCUCUACAACGUCUCACAAAUCUAGUACAAACACAAUAACCCCAGUGUCUACCAAGUCCCAAAUAUAUAAUACCAUACCAACAACCCCAGUGUCUACCACGUACAACAAAUCCAGUAUAAACUCUACAACCCCGAUGUCUAACCAGUCCCACAAUUCCAGUACAAACACUGCAACCCUGGUGUCUACCAUGUCCAACAAAUCUGGUACAAACACUAUAACACCGGUGUCUACCAUAUCUCACAAAUCUAGAAAAAACACUACAACCCCGGUGUCUACCAUGUUCGACAAAUCUAGUACAAACACUAUAUUACCGGUGUCUACCAUAUCUCACAAAUCUAGAACAAACACUACAACCCCGGUGUCUACCAUGUUCGACAAAUCUAGUACAAACACAAUAACCCAAGCCUCUACAACGUCUCACAAAUCUAGUACAAACACAAUAACCCCAGUGUCUACAAUGUCCCUCAAAUCCAGUACAAACACUACA
rnacentral:misc_RNA from 1 species